GACAGAGGCCUCAAGCGUUACUCGGAAUUAUUGGGCGUAAAGGGCGCGUAGGCGAUUUGACAAGUCUUGUGUGAAAGCCCCGGGCUUAACCCGGGAAGUGCACAAGAAACUGUUGAAUUUGAGUUCCGGAGAGGAAGGCAGAAUUCCCGGUGUAGCGGUGAAAUGCGUAGAUAUCGGGAGGAAUACCAGUGGCGAAGGCGGCCUUCUGGACGGAUACUGAUGCUGAGGCGCGAAAGCCAGGGGAGCAAACGGG
rnacentral:rRNA from 1 species